GAUGAACGCUGGCGGCGUGCUUAACACAUGCAAGUCGAACGGUGAAAGCGGAGCUUGCUCUGCUGGAUCAGUGGCGAACGGGUGAGUAACACGUGAGCAAUCUGCCCCUGACUCUGGGAUAAGCGCUGGAAACGGCGUCUAAUACCGGAUACGAGCUGCGAAGGCAUCUUCAGCAGCUGGAAAGAAUUUCGGUCAAGGAUGGACUCGCGGCCUAUCAGCUAGUUGGUGAGGUAAAGGCUCACCAAGGCGACGACGGGUAGCCGGCCUGAGAGGGUGAUUGGACACACUCGGAGUGAGACACGGCCCAGACUGCUACGGGAGGCAGCAGUGGGGAAUAUUGCUAAAUGGGCGCAAGCCUGGUGCAACAAUGACGUGUGAGGGAUGACGGCCUUCGGGUUGUAACCCUCUUUUGGCAGGGAAGAAGCGAAAGUGACGGUACCUGCAGAAAAAGCACCGGCUAACUACGUGCCAGCCGCCGCCGUAA
rnacentral:rRNA from 1 species